UGGCUCUCGCAUCGAUGAAGAACGCAGCGAAAUGCGAUAAGUAAUGUGAAUUGCAGAAUUCAGUGAAUCAUCGAAUCUUUGAACGCACCUUGCGCUCCUUGGUAUUCCGAGGAGCAUGCCUGUUUGAGUGUCUUGAAGUCAUCAACCCCCUCCGUUUCGUGCGGUUAGGGUUGGAGCUGGGGGCUCUGCCGCCGCGAGGCGGCUCCCCUCAAAUGCAUCGGUUGGGCCUGUGGGUCGAACUCGACUGGGCGUUGUACCAUCCUCGCUCGACAGAGACGUUCCCCUCUUGCGCCCUUCCCCGACCGCCUCUCAAGGGUGGCGGUCAACCUUUUUGCAAUCUGACCUCAAAUCAGGUAGGACUACCCGCUGA
rnacentral:misc_RNA from 1 species